CCUACGGGGGGCAGCAGUGGGGAAUAUUGGACAAUGGGGGCAACCCUGAUCCAGCCAUGCCGCGUGUGUGAAGAAGGCCCUCGGGUUGUAAAGCACUUUCAGUGAGGAAGAACGCCUGGUGGUUAAUACCCAUCAGGAAAGACAUCACUCACAGAAGAAGCACCGGCUAACUCCGUGCCAGCAGCCGCGGUAAUACGGAGGGUGCGAGCGUUAAUCGGAAUUACUGGGCGUAAAGCGCGCGUAGGUGGCUUGAUAAGCCGGUUGUGAAAGCCCCGGGCUCAACCUGGGAACGGCAUCCGGAACUGUCAAGCUAGAGUGCAGGAGAGGAAGGUAGAAUUCCCGGUGUAGAGGUGAAAUGCGUAGAGAUCGGGAGGAAUACCAGUGGCGAAGGCGGCCUUCUGGACUGACACUGACACUGAGGUGCGAAAGCGUGGGUAGCAAACAGGAUUAGAGACCCGGGUAGUC
rnacentral:rRNA from 1 species